AUUGAACGCUGGCGGCAUGCUCUACACAUGCAAGUCGAACGGUAACAGGCCGCAAGGUGCUGACGAGUGGCGAACGGGUGAGUAAUGCAUCGGAACGUGCCCAGUCGUGGGGGAUAACUACUCGAAAGAGUAGCUAAUACCGCAUACGAUCUAUGGAUGAAAGCGGGGGACCGUAAGGCCUCGCGCGAUUGGAGCGGCCGAUGUCAGAUUAGGUAGUUGGUGGGGUAAAGGCUCACCAAGCCAACGAUCUGUAGCUGGUCUGAGAGGACGACCAGCCACACUGGGACUGAGACACGGCCCAGACUCCUACGGGAGGCAGCAGUGGGGAAUUUUGGACAAUGGGCGCAAGCCUGAUCCAGCAAUGCCGCGUGCAGGAAGAAGGCCUUCGGGUUGUAAACUGCUUUUGUACGGAACGAAACGGCUCUGGUUAAUACCCGGGGAUAAUGACGGUACCGUAAGAAUAAGCACCGGCUAACUACGUG
rnacentral:rRNA from 1 species